AGCGAGCGUGCAGUAUGGAGCCUACUGGAUCUGGCGAAGUCCAGCUGAAAGGGCUUCUGCAGGCCCUCUACGCCAGCCUUGGCCCCAUUUUACAGAUGCGGAAACAAAGGCCCAGAGGAAGGGAAGGCGACUCGCCCAGAGGCACGAGCUUGGACUAGAACCCGAGAGCCAGAGCUCCCCCCACCUCUCCUCUGCAUCUCCUGACCGCUGAAGGGAGAGGCAGCUCUGCGGGGACGACCGGAAGCUGCCAGAGAAGUCGGUGGUGGGCAUCCGUGGGCCUCAGGUCCCCCUUGCUGUAUGCGGGAUCCUUGCCCCGGGGUGGAGAGUGGCCCAUAUGAAUUGCAUGUUCUCUCCUGGCUCUGAGACUGAUGGCCGCAGGAAUAACACUCAAAGGACGGGCACGUGAAUUCACCUGUCUCACCAACCCCGUGUCUGGGGCCAGUGAUCACACAGAGAUCAGCUCCGAGGAAGAGAUCGUUGCAGAGCCUCCCUAUUGCCACGGCUGCCAUUGCUCUUGGGGACGACGGAUCAGCUGAACACAGCUCUGCUCCAGGUACAAUGACGACCAGGUCAGAGCAGUACCAAGAUGGCUGACAGGCAGCCAGCCUCUCCCUUGUGGGCCAUGCUGUCCCAGGGAUCUCCACGCCUUUGGGAGCGAGAGCUCUGAGCGAUGAUAGAAGGCCCCAGUUUCACCUCGAACCACCCAAUUCUCCAGAAGGAAAGGGCCCAGAAGGCAAAUUGGUCUACACCCUGGCUCUGGUUAGAAGGCCCUCAGUGCAUUCCUGUGAAUCACCAUGUCCAAAGUCCUAGGGGAUUCUAUUUAUUUUGAGAGAGAAAGAGAGAGAGAGAGAGAGAGAGAGAGAGAGAGAGACCCCAAAGGAUUCUAGAUGUGAGUGGAGGCACCAUUUCUGAUUUGGGAAUACCUAAAACUCAACAGCGGUACGAAGAAGAAGCUUCCGCUGAGGACCUGCAUGGGUCAGAGAGCUUCGACCAAGACACGGGAAGGGGCUGAGAAGGUUUCCACCUGCAGCAUAGGGGUGGAUGGGGAAGGCCAGAGGGAGGAGAGCGAGGACGAAGACCCUCGGCCUCCCACCCACACUCCCUUUUCUUUGCUGGUGCCUUCAGAUGGGGGGCGGGUGGGGGUUGUGGUCAGGAUAAUGAUCAGGAUGUACUAGUUGUCUAGAGGAACCAGAUUUUUUUAUUUUUUAUUUUUUUGAGAGCCAUGUGGAAGUCAAGAAGUGGACUUGAUCUUAAGGGAGGAACAGAGAUCCUGGGUCAACCCAAGCCUUGUAGAGAAAGCGCGUGGUGGACAUUCGCCCUGGGAGCCGGGGGAUGAGACUGUUUGUUCUUCUCCGGAGCACUGUGGAGUGUGGCUCUUGACCUCUUUGGGCCUCAGACCUCUUCAGGAUCCGGCAGAAGCUGUCUCCCUCUGCCCUGCCGGCCGCACACAUGCACAGGACAGCGUUUACGCGGCAGCACCUCAGAAGCCCAGCCGGGCCCUGCGUUAGGAAGGAGUCCUUCAGGAAGGGGACAGCCCUGAGCCCAGGCUCCCUGGUAUCUGGGCUAAUGAGGGAUGUUAAUGACACGGAGGGUCCAGAAUGAGGAAAAUCGAAACCAGAUUUCUAUCGCGUGAGCUAAAAAGAAGCACGACACACGUCCCGCGUUGCAAUUUUGUAAAAAAGAUACACCGGUAAAGAGAGAACGGUGAAGGCCGCGUGGAGAAAUGAAAACGAUUUGCAGAAAAUGUUUGCUGAUCCCUGGUCUAGAAGCCCGGCUCUGCACCUUGCUCUGCUCGUCUGUGUAAUGUGGAAUCCGAGUUAAGUACCGCGAAAGCUCCUUCCUGGCGUGUGGUGGAGUCAUUCUGCAUUCCACGGUUCUCGCUCUGCCCUUGAGGGCCCGCGUUGCACACAUCUUUGUGUCACCAGCAGCCCCGUGAUGCCUGCACCGAGCAGGUGCUCAGGCAGCAUCAGCUGACUGGUGUUAAUGGUGGCAGGAGAGGGAGCUCAGAGCCCGGCCCUGUUGCCGCACGGCUGUGUGAGCUUAGGCAGCACUUUGAGUCUCUGAGCCUCAGUUUCCUCACUUGAAAAAUGGGCAUAAUGACUUAGCACCGACUUGCUAGGGUUGCGAUGAGAAUGAAGGAGAUAAGUACCCGGGGAGGUGCCUUGGGAAGUCUUCGGUGCUGUCCAAAUGCUAGCAGCUACUGCCACUGCUGUUCCUGGGCAUGUCACACGUACUCGGCUUUGUUGCCUAGUUCCAUUUGGCGUGCUUUAACUCAUAGGAUGGUUUCCCUAAGGAUGGUUGGGUUCUUGAGGGUCAAGGUGAUUCUAAAGCUGCCCAUCAGAAAGGUCCCAGGUGAGUGGUCUCAGUGAUGGGAUGUGUGUGGCCCUGGGGCACCCCCUGCCUGAUCACUGCUUGCCCCUUGAGUUGUGAGGGCAGAGAAGGACUGGGAAGGGAUAGUUUAUUAAGACUUGGGGAGGGUGGACCCCCCGAGUCUUGGUCCCUGACCAUUCCCAGGGCGGGGGAGGGAGCCAGACCUGCACAGUGGGCUCAGUCCUGCCCCCACAGCUACCUCUGUUCAUUGAGACAGAGGACUGGGCUCUCCCGCCCAGGCUGCCUGCCCCCUGCCCGGCGGAUCGUCCUGCCACAGGAUGUAGCUUCAUCUCUUGAUAACCUUGACCGGCCUUUGUUUAGCAUUUUCUUUUCAAUGAGCUCUCGCACAGGCAUCAUUUUGUCUUCCAUAAGAAUCCCAUGUGGUAGGGAUUCUAUCUACCCCCCUUAGAAAUGAAGAUGCUGAGGUUCAGGGAGGUUAAGAGACUUGCCCACAGUGAGUGUCCCAGCUGGGAUGGGAUCUGCAUCCCUUAAUGCCAGGGCUCUUUCUAUCACACCGAGUUGCCGCUCUUCACCUGCCUCAGUUGUACCAAUGAACCUGUCUUCUCCCAGUCCCUCUCCCACUCCUGCGUGGCUUUGUCCCGGCUGACCCCCAGGCCUGGGAGAGUCCCCUUCACCCCCAUGCUGGUAUAGAGGCUGGCCCUCUCCUACAAUGGAAACCUAGUGUGACAGCAGGGCUUCUGGAACUCCCCUCGCCCGGUCCUGACCCCUGGGUCCGGGGGGGGUGGGGGUAGAGAUGGCUUAGGGAAGGUGCACACUGGGGGUGCCAGGGAAGACAUGUCAGGUUCAGUUACCAUGACGUGGAAUAUUUAUGCUGCCAUGGGGCCCUGGGUGUCAUACUGCAUUAAGUGGGCACUCAGUGCCCACUCCCUCCAGCCACGAGAUCAGCUGCCUGCCCCUCUCUCCCUUCUUCCUGCUGGAUGCCAUAGUCGGUGGCAUUCCUGACCCCUGGGGAUACAGUCAGGGCCUCCUGGGCGCCCAGCCUUUGGGAGGCGCCACUUCCUAGGGACUGAGGGUUUGACUGAGGGAAGGAAGCUUUGACCCCUUAACACAUCAUUCUGGUGUCUCCAGGGGGGCAGGCUCUUAUUUCACGGUUUGGUGGGGAGAGUUCAGGCUCCGAGGACCCAUCAGACCCUCUCUGUAAGCUCAGCGCAGAGGCGAUGCCCAACGAAGCCUGGAUACAAGGGGAAGGUGGAUACAAGCCGGGAUGUCACGGGGAAGAAACUCAGACCUUGCCUCCCGAAAGGACAAGACCCUGUUAGUCCUGUAGGGACACCCAGCAGGCCCCUGCCAUCAAUGUGGUUUCCCUUCGGCUUUGCUCAACUUCAGCUUUGUCUCUGCAACUCCCCCCCCCCCCCCUGCUUUCCUCUGUACAGCCUGAGGGCUGGGCAGCAGAGGGAGAGCAGACAGGGCAUGUAACCACACCCCUGAGGAAGAAAGUGGUUCGGGGGGUGGGUACAAGGCUCUGUGGGGUACCCAGAAUAAGGAGCGAAGGGGGAAGGGGUAGAGAGCGUGAGCCUGGUGCAAGCCGAGCCCCAGGGUGCAGGGUGCAUCCUCCCCUUCCCCCCAGGCCUUCCUAGCUACCCCCUCGGGGUCUGGCCUGAGCUGCCCUCUCCAGGUCCAUUACCCCAGACCUUGUCACUGUUUAUCCAGACUCGAGGCCACUCUACAGCCUUAACCGGCCGCCACUGCAUCCACCAGGCUAAUGCUGACCGUUAUCGCCUUCCUACCCUCGAUCCUGCAGUAACUUCCCAUCGCUGACAGGACCACAUCUAACUUUUGAGCCUGGCGCCUGUGGUCCAUCCAUGGUUUAGCCCUGCUUUGCCCUGCAGCCUGCUUCUCCCUACUCCGCACUCCAAGGCUGUCCUCUGGCCCUGGGAACGCGCACAGCCCCAGACACAGCGUGCUCGCUCCCAUCUUGAACGCUGGGACGCGCUGACACUCUGCCAGGUUGGACCGUGACCCGACUUCAUCCUCUAGAGAGAUGCUCCCCACCCUUCGUGUCUCCUCUCAAGAUCCACCUCCACCCUGAGGCUUCCCUUGGCCUCUCCUUCCACGGAAAUGCCACCCAGUGAGGCACACAUCUCCGUUGUAACAACUAUCUGCUUUUACUUUGGUUAUUCACGGAUGUUUCUCCCUGAGUCUUGACAGGGAGUAACUGAGGGUUGAGACAGUGUCUGAAUCACCUUGGGGCCCUCAGCAAUCGCUCUGCGUUUGACCUACGUUGCCGAUGUGUAGUAAACGGAAAACGCACCAAAAAACGUUUGGGAAAUGCUUAGAUUAGUAAACUAAUCCGUGCCACGAGGAGUCCUCCCCGCUCCCUGUUCCUUUAGCAAUGUCCCUCACGCCUCCCCGUGGGACAGGGCGAGACGGGGCUCCGAGCCCAUCGUGUUCUGUCCAAAUUUGUGGCAUGCAAAGCCGAAGCCAGCUUCAGAGCCCAACACGCUAAGCCCAUCCGAUGAGCUGCAUGUAUUGUGGCAAAUGUCAGCCUCGGCCAGCUCCAAACUAGGUCAGGCCCGGCUGCCAGCCACCAGGAGUCGGCCAGCACUGACUGCCCAGUGGUCUGGCCACGUGGUUGCAGCUUCUGGGUAGAGAGAGCAGGCGGGGAUGCUGCUGAAAUAGGAGGGUGGUAGCUGGGGGCGCCCUUGACCUGGGGUGGAGGAGAGGAUCCGACACUGAGGCCAAGGCAGAUCGAAAUGUUUCCCUUGCUCCGCAUUCAUGAUUUAAUUAGUGAAUUCGCCAUUCGUUCCUUCACUUAUUUACUCAACAUACAUUUACUGUACCUGCCUGGUGCCAGGUACUGUGCUGGGUGCUGGGGUAGGAGGAAGAAAUCUUCGGGCAGAGAAGGGAGGCAGGUGUAACCAACCACAGUAAGUUGAGCUGGAGAGACACCAAGGUUUGUACUGGACACACUGGGCUGCCCAGGGGAGGGUCUGUGGAGAUCCGAGAGCCACCGUGUCCCGAGGGCCAGCUGCUUGCACGGAUGCAGGAGCCGGCCUUGACCUCGCACCCGGCCCGUGAGCAUGCACUCUCCACCCCCGCCCCCUGCCUGGGUGGCCACUGCCCGGACUUGAGCCCGCUUUUGCCUUUCACCACGAAAUAGGAUGUCCGCUGCAUUAUUGUGAUUAUGCAUUUUUGUAGGCUCCCUUCAUCGGUUUGAGGAAGUUCCUUCCUUUUCUCUGGUUUGCGGAGAGUUUUUAUCAAGAAUGGAUGUUGGAUUUGUGUCCAAUGCCUUUUCUGCGUCUUUCGAGAGGAGCAUUAUGGCUUUUCUUUUGGAGUCUAUUAACACGGGAAUUGGUGGGAGCCAGCUCAACCAAUGACUAUUGCUAUUGGCCAUCUGCUGGGACGUGCGGAUAGCUUAUAGAACCUGAGAGUCACAGCCUACUGGAGCCAGAGGGGACUUUGGGGAUCUUGUCAUCCAACCUAGUCAUCGUGCAGAUGAUGGAACCGAGGCCCAGAGAGGAGAUGUGAGUUGCGUGCGGUCACACAGCUAGUUGGUCGCAAGGUUUGCCAGGAACCAGCUGAUGCCCAUUCAUUCAGCAAGCAGGUCUUGGGGGAGGAUCAGAGAAGGCAGAUGGGUCCUCGGUCACCUCGUGCACUUUCCACUACACCAGUUUGCCUCAUUACAUAGUCCCUGCCCUUCUAAUGCACCUGGCUUCAUAGAAUUCUUAAUGUGUAAAAUAUUCAAUAGCGGUUGCCUUCCUUGUCCUGGUUGGCCAUGGGGAGUAGGCAGAGGGGGCUGCAGCCUGAGCACAGAUGGGGUGGCAGCAGGAGGAGGGGGCUCUGCAGGCUGCAGAAUGGCUGUGUGUGUGUGUGUGUGUGUGUGUGUGUGUGUGUAUGUGUUUGUGUGUGUGACUCCAACUGAGAUUAAACCCUGAGAGCAGGACUCAACCUUGCUUCUCCCUCCCCCAUGCAAUCACAUCCCGCCUGUGACUUUGUCAUCUCCAUCCCUCCAGCCUUUAUCAGUGUCACAGGUGCUGAGUCACCAGACACAGGUUACCAGGGAAGGUGAUUAAUGAUGGCAGCUGUGGUCCUUCCUACUCUCCCAGCCUCCCUGACCUUGUCCUUCCCCUCUUCUUUCUAGUUUCUCUUACCCCCACCAUCCUCUAAGAAAAGAGAUACACAUUCAGCAUCUGAGAGGGGAAGGAAGGGACAUUGGGCCCUUCUGGAACAGCCACUCUGGGUCAGGCACCGUGCCAGGCUCUUUCAUUUGUUCUCACUGCACAGUGUACGUGGGGAGAUGCUGCGGGGCGUCCUGGGAUGCAGGGGAGGGCUGUGUUCUUCCCACGUCACCAGAGAAGGCAGUGCCAGGCUGAUUUCCUGUAGACGCAUUUGCCACCCUUUGGCACAUAUGUUGCUCAUGUGGGCUCUGAUGUGCAUAGUUGUCAGCUUGCCAGGCUCCAGAGGACAGGCCCACGGAACCCCGGAGCCUUCAAUGUCAAAGCCAUCAGGGACCUUAGCAAUCGCUGACUUUCCUGGAAGGGUGAGACGGAGGCCCAGAGGAGAAAUGACUCGCUCAAGGUCAAAGCCGGCCUUUCCCGAUUCCCGUUCCAGAGUUUGGUCUUGCAUCCAGCUUUCUUUUCCCCUGCUGUACUUGUCUUCUCCUCCAGAAGCAGGGACACGGUCACUGAGAGGUUCAGAGCUGUAGGGUGAAGGGUGAGGAAGGGUAAAGGUCUCUAGUGAAGGAUAUUUAAGGCAUGAGGAUGGCCUCCUCCAACACCCAGCUCUGAGCAGCUUCACGCAGCUCCCUCCUUGAGUGAUGGGUCCUGUUGUCACAGUGACUGGACCGGACGGCCUGCCCACUGACAGGGCCUGGGAUGUGACGGAGCCUCUUACACUGAGGCCAUCUCCAUGCAAUGUUCUCUGUCCUUAGUCCUUGCCAUUGUGCCCGUGU